rnacentral:rRNA from 1 species
UGGGGAAUCUUAGACAAUGGGCGCAAGCCUGAUCUAGCCAUGCCGCGUGAGCGAUGAAGGCCUUAGGGUUGUAAAGCUCUUUCGCUGGGGAAGAUAAUGACUGUACCCAGUAAAGAAGCCCCGGCUAACUCCGUGCCAGCAGCCGCGGUAAUACGGAGGGGGCUAGCGUUAUUCGGAAUUACUGGGCGUAAAGCGCACGUAGGCGGAUCAGAAAGUCAGAGGUGAAAUCCCAGGGCUCAACCCUGGAACUGCCUUUGAAACUCCUGAUCUUGAGUUCGAGAGAGGUGAGUGGAAUUCCGAGUGUAGAGGUGAAAUUCGUAGAUAUUCGGAGGAACACCAGUGGCGAAGGCGGCUCACUGGCUCGAUACUGACGCUGAGGUGCGAAAGCGUGGGGAGCAAACA